GGCCCCGGGGUGUUACACGUGGGUUUGCAAACCCCAAGAAGCAGCUAAUUCCUGCCGGGGCU
rnacentral:tRNA from 1 species